GGGUCAGUAGGUUGGUCGUGCCACCGGUACGUACUGGUCUCACUGAUUCCUCCUUCCUGAAGAACCGUAAUGCCAUUAAUUUGGUGUUGCGGGGAAACAGGACUGUUACUUUGAAAAAAUUAGAGUGUUUAAAGCAAGCUAAUGCUUGAAUACAUUAGCAUGGAAUAAUGAAAUAGGACGAUCGAUCCUAUUUUGUUGGUUUCUAGGAUUGACGUA
rnacentral:rRNA from 1 species